rnacentral:lncRNA from 1 species
AGUAGUUCUAGGGCACGAGCAUUAUCUGCCCCAUCAAGUCUUGAUGCUGUAGAACACGAUGCAUUUGUAUCCACUGAAUUUGAGGAACAGGACGAACAUAAGAGUCGUGUUGGAUUGAUGAAGGAAUAUCAUUCCCCAAGUCCUCAACCUCUUCCUCUUCCAUCCCCUCAUGUUAGNGAACAUAAGAGUCGUGUUGGAUUGAUGAAGGAAUAUCAUUCCCCAAGUCCUCAACCUCUUCCUCUUCCAUCCCCUCAUGUUAGUACUUCUCUAAAAGCCAUGGGAAGCUUUAAAACGGUAAACACAAGUGGCCCUCUUUAUGCGUCUGGACCACUUCCUCUGCCUCCAGUGUUGCCUCCCACACUGCCUUCUGUAGGAAUGCUU